GGGAGCGCUGCAAAUGGAAUGAGAAAUUGAAAAUUAAAGUGCUCCUGUGCAUCAGUCCAGCAUAUUGUUACUGCGGUGAAGAAUGCCAUGCAGCCAAGGUGCCUGAGCGGAACAUUUGCAGAUGAGGAGUUAUUUGACCAUACAUCAUUUUUAUAUAUGAACGGUCUAAGCAGGGACAAGCUCAGUUCACCCAG